AAAAAAAAUCUAUAGAAAGGCUAUAAACCUUAUGGAUUAAUAAACAACACCAGAAAGACAUCAAAGUAAGUACAGUGAAUUUUGAAAAAAAGGAACACAUGAAGAGGAGGUCUUGCAUCAAGAACUGACUACAUAAAUGGUGGCAUUAUCAAUGGAGACUAGAUUUGUAUUUAUGCUCAAGAAAGAAAAGAGUAUGAAGAAAAAAAUGUUCUAGAAUCUCUGGAGUCAGAUUACUUCAAAAACCAAACUGAAUUAAAACCAACAAACAAACAAACAAACCAACAAGGAGAUGAAGCCUUAGAAGCCCUUAUAUAAAUGUUUCAGGACAUCAAGAACACCUUGCUAAAUGAAUUUCCUAUGCAUAAGCAGCAUACUCAUUUUUCAUACCUCAAUAUUUAAUUACCAUGUGAUAAUAAUACAAACAGUGAGAGAGGAUAGCAGUACUUUCCACAAGACAACAACAGUGUUUUUCAUUAAAAAUAAAAUGUCCUUUCUGCACAGAUUUUUUUUUUUCAAUUUUUAUUUUUUUUUAGCAUACAAAUUUAAUUAAAACACCAGUAACAUUUUUUAACAUUGAUCAUAAAUGGAUUAUAGAACAUAGAAUGACUCAUUAAAAUGAGCAAGAUAAACCUGCAGAUAGGGAACAUUUAAAUUUUCUUGACUUACCACCUUUUUCCUAUGC